rnacentral:rRNA from 1 species
CCCUUAGAUGUUCUGGGUCGCACGCGUGCUACACUGAGUGGAUCAGCGGGCCAGGUUGCGCGAAAGCGUUUCCUAAUCUUUAAAUCCGCUCGUGAUGGGGAUUGACGGUUGCAAUUUUCUGUCAUGAACGAGGAAUACCUUGUAAGCGCGGGUCAUCAUCCCGCGCUGAAUACGUCCCUGCCCUUUGUACACACCGCCCGUCGCUCCUACCGAUCGAGUGGUCCGGUGAGGCUUUGGGAUCUGAGCGGAAAGAGCGUUUCGCUGUUUCUGCUCGGAAAACUCAGUCGAACCUUAUCAUUUAGAGGAAGGAGAAGUCGUAACA